rfam:[Clostridium] litorale DSM 5388 strain W6 CLIT_21c, whole genome shotgun sequence.
UCUGGUUACUAUAGCAAGGAGGAUACACCUGUUCCCAUACCGAACACAGAAGUUAAGCUCCUUAGCGCCGAAGGUACUCGGACCGGAAGGUCCCGGGAGAAUAGGCCGUAGCCAGGU